GAGAGAGAGAGAGAGAGAGAAUCCAAGAAGGCUCUGCUGACAGCACAGAGCCUGAGAAGGGCUUCAUCCCACGAACCGCAAGAUCAGGAGGCAAAAUCAAGAGCCAGGCACUUAACCAACUGAGCCUCCCAGGUGCCCCCAAUUUUCAUUAUUUCUACAGAAACGUCAUUAAUGAGUCUUUUUUUGGUUGUUGUUGGUUUUAAUAUAAUGUGGUUUUUUUUCCAGCUGCAUUUUAUAAUUUUAUCUUUGUCUUGUAUUUUCAACCAUUUUACUGUGAUGUACUUAAGUGUCUUUAGUUUGGUUAACUAUUAGUGUAACAAAUUAUCCCAGAUUUGGUGGCAUAGACCAAUAUUUCAUUAUGUGUAGAGAUUCUGUAGUUAUGAAUUUGGACACAGUACAGCUAUAUUGGUUGGUUUCUUCCCAGGAUGUUUGUGGUUUUUCGUCUGGGAAUACUGAAAUGAUUGCUUCCUGGAAUCCUCUUGGGGGCUUCUUCUCUCACACAUCUGGCAUCUGUAAUAGGAUAACCUACCCUCUGGGCUUAGCUGAGUCUGGUGACCAGAUCACCUACAUGUGACCUUUCUGGGGUAAUAGUAUCUUCAUAAAAUGAGUUGGCAAUUAUCCUCUUCUUAUUUUUGGAAGAGUUGGUAUACGAUUGUGUUAUUCUUUAAAUGUUUGCUAUAAUUCACCAGACAAUGCUGUGAUGAACAUCCUUGUACAUCUCUACACACUUGACUGAUUAUUUAAUUGGGAUAAAGUUCAAAAAGUGACACUGUUGGAUCUACAUAAGAUUUGACAGUUUUAUUUUUGAGAUGGGUUUUGAAGAAUGGAAUGCAUUUCAUCAGGUGAAGAAUCAACGCAGAGUCUGAUGUGAGCUUAAUCCCACAAACCGUGAGAUCAUGACCAGAGCCAAAAUCAAGAGUCGGAUGCUUAACUGACUGAACCACCCAGGCACCCCCCAAACAAAUAUUUAGAGAUGGACAAGAAAUUCUGAGUUUGGAUACUAUUUAAUUGGAUUUUCAUCUCUUGUCUAGCAUGUUAUAAAACUUCUGAGGUAAGGUAUAGCCUUUACCCAAGUCUUAUAUUCCUUUCUUUUUUAAAAGAGUAUAUGCAAAAAUUAGAACUUUUGAUUAUUUAUAACUUGGAUAAAAAUACUGUUUUCAGCAUUGAUUGAAGAUCACAACAUGUUGACUUCAGAGCUAUAAAAUAUAUUCUGUGUCAGUCUCUCUAUUAAGAAUGGGACAUUUGUUUUCUUUUCAGUGUGGAUGUAUAUAUUUAAUAGCAUGCACACUCUGGUCAGAGGUCUAUAACUAAACAUUAACUGGAGGUUUGGCUAAUAUCUGCAUAAUAAGGGAUUUUUAAAAAUCUGCUUAAGAAAACUCUCAUAAUUGUCUAUAUUUAAUUUAUGAAAUUUUGAUUUUUCUGGAAUCGCAUGAAGGGACUCUGAAGACAAUAAUGUGAAAAAACAGAAUUCUGGAUAAGUAGUGUGACAUUUACUCAGAAAAGAAAAUAAAUCUAGGACAAAAGUUGAGAAAAACAGUUAUCAGUUUGCAAGAUUAUAUAAAACCUGGGGAAGUAUUUUAGAGGACAAAGUCUUUGUCUCUACUCCCUACAGGGAAUCCCUUAUGUUCUAAAAUCUGUGUGUGAUAGAAAGUCAUUUGAAUAUUGCUUUAUAAUACUUCCUCAAUACUCCCUAGAGGAUUUGUUUAUUUUAAUAUGUCUGCAGGAUAUUUUCAAGGAAUGUUUAAUGACAUGAGAAAAUGAUCACAAUGUGAAUGGAAAAUGGAAACAAAAUUGUAAAUACAAUAUCAUUUCCAUUCUGUAAUUAAAUUAAUUAAACAAACAUAUAAACAUGAAUUUUAGUAAAUAUAUCACAAUACUUUUGGGGGGUUCUUAAAUUAAAAUUCAUUGAAAAUUUUCUAUGCAUAUAUAUUUUUCAGCUUCUUAACACUGAACUUUUACUUUUGUAUACUUGUAGAGGAGAGGACAGUCUACUUAUAGUUGUGGCUCUUGUUUUUUCUAUUGAAGUUUCAGCAUUUUUUCUCAGAGAUUUGUAUGAAUUUUCUGUAUAUCAAGAAAAAUAAUCUUUGAAUUGUAUAUAGUAGCAUAAGUUAGUUUUGCAUUAUAGUGUUAUGAAAAAUUUCAAAUCACUGACUGAUGAAUCUUUUUCAAGUUCAGGAGUUUGUUGUGUCCAUUCUGAUUGCAAUAUACAAGGUGACAAAUUUUCAUUCAUAGUUGAGCUUAAUGAAAAUGUAGAUGUGGUUUAGUUAAAGUUUAUGAUUUGUAUAUUAAAGUACAGCAUGAUGAAUGUGUUAAAAUUACAAGGCCAGAGGUAGCUGCCAACCCAGUGACAUGUACUAAGGAUGAGGAGGAGUGCUUAGUUGCUUCACGUAAGCUACAAAGGCUCUUAUUCAGCGUGUAAUCUUCAGUUUUCAACGGGAGGAUGGAAAAAGUUUGAAAUCCAGAUCACUGCUUGCUUUAUCAAAACAUUAAAGACUCAGCUAUGUUUCUUUUUAAUAGGUGAGUGCUAGGAGCUGGCUGGCUAGGUAAUUUCAUUUUUCUUGAGGGCCUAGGUAUUUAUUCCCUGAGGAUUAGUUGGCUCCCAGAUAGUGGAUAUGAAACAUGUAAGAGCUUGUUCACAAAAAACAGAGUGGAGUUUAAAGGUGUGAACUCUAUGUACGUUGCUGAACAAUUCUGUGAUUUUUUUUAAAGACCUUGAGAAUGAAAGAGUAGCUCAUUGUUUAAAAUAGAAAACAAAACAAAACAAACUUACUGUUGAGUGACUGCUGAAUUUUUGUGAUGAACUUGAAAGGACUUCAAACGCUUUUUUAAUGUCUUUAUGAUUUAUAUUUGCUCUGAGGAUUUGGGGAAUAGUGGAGAAAUACCUAAAAAAUACAGUAACCUAAUUAAUAUACUGUAAAUAGUCUCUUGGAAGUAAGGAAUGGAAAAUUGGAUCCAUUGUGAGUUCCAAUGUAGUCUAUUUUAUGAAAAUGGAUGUGCCUUGAAGAAGAAUUUGGUGCUGCUGUGUAAUUGAGGUAAAGCAAAUAAAUAAAUAAAUAUUAAGAAAAAUUUAAAAAGGCAAGGGUAUCUGAGUUCAGAUCAUGGCUCUACAGUUAAUGCUUUACAUGACCCUAAUAAAGCUAUAGCAGAAUAAUAUGAUGGAGAGUAUCAAAUUUAAUUUCUUUAAGUUAUGUGGCACUACUUGUGUGAUUUACUCUCUCAACUUUAUUUUUGUUGUCUACAAAGUGGUGAUACCACUAUAUAUUUUUCAGGGAUUAUUGUGAUGAUUAAAUAAGUAUAUAAAGUGCCUAGGACAGUACCUGGUAUUUUUUACAGACUCAGUAAAUGGUAUUCUGUAUAGAUGUUUACAUGUCUUCCUUCUGUUUAACUGUGAGUUUAACCUGGGGUCCAUAGAAUCUAGGGGAUAAUGGAGGUUCUCCAUUUAGAGAUCUCCCUAAAUUCUGUGCAAAAUUUUGUGUAUGUGCUUAUUUAUAGAGAAGGUGUGUAGUUUUCAUUAGAUCUAAAACUUCUCUACUAAAGCCCUUGAUUACAAACAUACAUGUUAAACUCUGUUCAAUUUAAAAGCCAAUUUAUUUUAUAGUCUAGAUUAACAAUUUAAUUGUAGACAAUUUAAAGGAAUGACUGAAUGAAUUAGAAGCCAGACCUGUGAGUGUAGGUCUGGUUGUGGUGAAAAUUGCAAAAGACACUAAUUUAAAAGUGAAGCAUUUAGUCCAUCCUAGGUGUUUUUAGUGUCGAGUAGAAUGUAUUUUCAUAAAAUUUUCUCAGUUUUAAAUUGAUGAUUUGUUGUCUUGUACAAAAACAUACAAAAUGAGACCUUUGCUAUGACUAUAAGAACAAUGAAUCUUUCAACAUUUUAUUUUAAAUGUAUAAUAUAAAUUUAUUUAGGAAACUUUUUUUAUUUACAAAACAUUUUAUCUUGCUGGGUGUUAAUAUAAAAGGAAAGGCUUUUACUUUCUUAAACUCUAAAAAAUUUUUAUGUUUAUUUUUGUGAGAGAAAGAGAUAGAGCAUGAGGUGGGAGGGGCAGGGAGCUAGGGAGACACAGAAUUUGAAGCAGGCUCCAGGCCCCACGCUGUCAGAAAGAGCCCAACAUGGGUCUCAAACUCAUGAACCACAAGAUCAUGAUCUGAGCUGAGCCAC